AACGAACGCUGGCGGCAUGCCUAACACAUGCGAGUCGAACGAGACCUUCGGGUCUAGUGGCGCACGGGUGCGUAACGCGUGGGAACCUGCCCUUAGGUUCGGAAUAACUCCCCGAAAGGGGUGCUAAUACCGGAUAAUGUCUUCGGACCAAAGAUUUAUCGCCUUUGGAUGGGCCCGCGUUGGAUUAGCUAGUUGGUAGGGUAAAAGCCUACCAAGGCGACGAUCCAUAGCUGGUCUGAGAGGAUGAUCAGCCACACUGGGACUGAGACACGGCCCAGACUCCUACGGGAGGCAGCAGUGGGGAAUAUUGGACAAUGGGCGAAAGCCUGAUCCAGCAAUGCCGCGUGAGUGAUGAAGGCCUUAGGGUUGUAAAGCUCUUUUACCCGGAUGAUAAUGACAGUACCGGGAGAAUAAGCUCCGGCUAACUCCGUG
rnacentral:rRNA from 1 species